rnacentral:rRNA from 1 species
AUGGAGAGUAGCGUCGCCAACAUCCUGCUGGUGCUUUCGCUCGGGGCGGCCCUCGCCGUCGCCGGCCGCCCCGCUGAUACCUCCGGCGAGGUGUCCGCCAUUCGCCUCCCGAGCGAUGGAAAAGGUCUUGCUGGUGACGCAACAGUACUUGGGGCGCCCAUGAAGGAGGACGAGAGGCCGUGGGCAUGCUGCGACGACCUCCAUUGCCUGAGAGUGCUCCCGAGGGCCUGCCUCUGCCGCGACACGGUGGCGCAGUGCGCCAGCGCGUGCCAGCUACGUUUGCCUGGAUUUGCACGAAGGUUGGCUCGGCCCAAAGUGCAUGCACGAAGUGGACGUCGCCGGCGCCGGUAA